CCUUGUCUCAGAAAAAAAACUAGUUAUUUUUUCAGAAUACUUUUUUCUCUAGUGUAAGGGCAAGUGUAUAUAACACAUCAUAAAAUAUCUUGAUAAAUGUCAAAAUAUACUAAAUUAUCAAAAAUUUGAUAAUUACACAAAUAGGGUCCUGAGCUAUUUUGGGAUCCAGCUCCUUGAAGUGCUGUUGAUUGAAUCAGGUUGACUCACUUCCUCGUACCUUUCUAUGUUUUUUUCUUUCAUGCCUGAAGGCCCGAUCUACUUAGCCUGACCUCAAGGCCUGGCAUUCUGUCUCAGAUCCAAGUUCCUGCUCCUUCAGGCCUGCGUCUUGUCCUGCACAUCAUACACCUGUCAACCCGGACUAUUCACUCUUCCCAGAACCUCCUCUGUGCUUUUUCACCUCUGUGCCUUUGUUCAGGAUGUCCCUACAGCUGGAAUGCUCAUCAGCACCACCUUAGUUCUAUUCCUGCAACUGCUUCUGGUCCAGGACACAAAAGGAAACCCAUUCGAAGCAUUCAGUAUCAAUCCCAAGUCGUAUCUUGACCUUCUUCACUGCUUUCGAAUAACUACAGCUGUGUUAUAACUGCAGAGCCUCCCAGUGUGGACAGAGACACUUUCUUCACCCUCUGCUUUGGGGCUUAGACAUAUGACCGUGUGACUUGCUUUUGCCAAUGGGAUGGCCGCAAACAUCAAACAUACACAGAGGCUCAAACACACUUUUGGGAUUUGGUUUUUGCAUGCCUGAGGUCCACCAGGAGUAGAACAGGAAGGAAACCUGUGGAGUCAACAUGAACACGACUCAGAACACGAAGCCAAGCCCAGCUGCUCCUAGUCAAGUCCUGUGGACCCACAGCCAACCCAUGAGCAAGGAAGCGAGUGGUAUUUGUUGUAAGCCACUGAAGAAACGCCAUUAGUGAUAUAAGUCACUUCGAGCUUUGAGGUUGAUUAGUUAAUCAAAAGUUAAUUAAUACUCAACCUUUAUACUGUGUGCCCUCCAUGUAAAUUCAUAAAAAAAAUUAAACUAAUUUAGAAUAAGAGUGAUAACAAAGAACUGAGUGGGAAAUUUAGAAUUUUGUACACUGGAAUUGCCCAGACUCUGCUGAAGCCAUCAUAUCUCUACCUGCUUAUUCCAUGAUGACAACCCUAAAAUCUACUUUACUAUUCCCGGAAGAGCACAAAUGACUUAGCGUAAGCUGUCUGUUGGAUCCCUGUCAUCCAAAAGCCAGGACUUGCACACAAGACAGUAUCUUUUGCUGGAAUCAGUUAUUGUCUCCUUUUCAGAAAGCUGCUCU
rnacentral:lncRNA from 1 species